GGGUAUCCACGGUUCAUCUUUUCAUAUACAUGUUGUUCAAAAAGGAGAAGAAGAAAUGGAUAAUGGGCUGCGCCUUCAAGUGUGUGUACUUAGAGCUGCAUCUGCAAUUUCAAGCUUAAAUGGGUUUCAUCUUGUCUAAAAUAUCUUUUGUGAAAAUAAUGUACGAAAAAGUAUUGCAUAUUUAUUAACUAUGCUAAAUAAAAAGUGCCUACAUGUUUACCGAGGGGAAAAUGCCAUUUUUUGUUUGGGGAUUCUUUUCUCGUGACCAUCGGAUUCUAUUCUGCACCUAACCACAUGCAUUUUCUAUAAAUGACUUAUGGCAAGCAAGAACUGCUGCACAUAUAUAUAAUAACAUGAAAAUGAGGAAAAAAACAUUUUUACUGGUUCACCAGCAUACCGUACCGUACCAUGCAAUAAUGCUUUGAGCUAUAAGUGGUAAGCCUAACUUCUUUCAAAGCAAAUGCUUUCAACUUUCAUGAGUGAAGAUGGAAGCAUCAUUGCAGUUGCAGACACGCCAAAGUGGUUACAGAGGCCAGAGUGAGCACAGCACACAUGCAGGAAAGCUACUAAAACAACAGACGACAGGUAAUUUGGAAGCACCGGAACAUAAACUGUGUCUAUUAUUAUUUGGUGUGGGUCUGGUGGGCUAAACUGCUGCAUGCCUGCAUGCAUGUGUCAAGCAACAGACCAUAUCACCACCGCUGCACCAUUCGAUUUUCUGUCACAUUGCAUGAUGAUCUAACACAGCAUAUAUCAAAAUAUCGGCCACUUCCACACUAACAUUUUAUUAGCCAGACUUUUGUCUACUUAAGGGGGUGUUUGGCACGGCUCAUAACGAGAGGCUCGUGUAGAGGAGGCAGAGCGUUUUGGAGAAGUCAUAAUUUGUGGCUUCAUCAAAACGGCUUAGACUCCUCUGCUCUUUACUUAAAAAUAGCUUCUUCACAAAAACGUUUGGCAGGACUCCUCUGGAGGAGCCAGAGUCAGAACCGAAGAGGAGCAGUACCAAACAGACCCUAGGUUCAGUCAAUUUUUGUCAUUUUGGCACCACACACUAUCAUGUUUUCUCUCUCUCUCGGAAGUGCACUAAACUUUAGUUACAUUUUGGUAUCUAUUUUAAAGAUUUUUUAAUCUAUUCAAAAACUAAAUUUCAUUAAUAAAAUAACGGGUGCUCUUUCUGAGAGAGGAGUAUUUAAUUAGCUAGUAAUUAUGGGGCACCCUUCUAGAGAUCCACUAAGCAUCCUAUAUUAGUCCUCUUGUGUAUCAGGAGUAGCUCAUGCACACAUAUUCAACAGAAGGAUAAUAUAAUUAACCAUGCAUCAUAUACAUACAUACAUACUCCUAUAAAAUAACAUAAUAUAUAUGUCUCCUCUUUCUCUUUUUGUACAUUGGAAAUUGAUAGUGGGGAGCACAAUAUAUAAUUAAGAUGAGGCUAGUGUUUUGAGUUGAGUUAGGUCCAAGGUCUUAGUAUGUUGUGGGCUUCGAUAGACCUAGACCCGAGGCCCAUUGGCUUGUGUGUAUAGAGGGUAGGACCGGAUUCCACUCGCAAUCUAACAGUUUACCUUGUCCUUUUGUUCUCCCCUACAAACUCUCCUUUUCUGAUUGUCAACUGGUGAUUGCGUCUUUUAACCACAACCUAUCCAGGUGGCAGGCCUCCCUUCUCAGUAGGGUGGGGCAUCUCGUCAUUGCUUCCAUUGUGCUUAGCGCCCUUACCCUCCACUACAUAUUGGCUAUUGGGCUUCACAAAAUUGUUAUCAAGGCAAUUGACAGUCAUCCUAGGGCUUUUUUGGAAUGCAGAAGACUCUUGCCAUGGAUCCAUAUUAAUGACCGUCACCUGGAUCCAAGGUAUGCCAGCGACCACCCGACAUUACCCUUGCUUGUAGGUUCGCCCCUGGGAUGGGCUUGAUAGUAGGUGUGUACGAUGGAAACGUGCAAGCCCUUUUGAUCUUGUGAUGCUUAUGACGCACUGGCUCCCUCCUAACAUACAAUACUUCCAUGUACUAUGGAUCUAGCGAACUGAGGACCUUUGUUCCAUUAUCUAAAAAAUGGAUCUAGCGAACAAAAGUGUCAAACAAGGAGAAGAUCUUCACAUGGUUGUACUUCAAGGAUCGUCCAAGCACCAAGGAGAACCUACUACACAAACAUGUCCUCAAUCAUGGUAUUUGUUGUGGACGUAGUCACCCCAUGGAAGACAGACAUCACGUCUUCUUUGGGUACCAUCUCAAUAGCGAGUUGUGGAGUUGCAUUAGUCUGUCCUCUCUAGCGUCUGCCAACGACUGGUCUCUGCCAUCUGCUCUUGGAAAUGAUCUAGCGACUUGGCCAUCCAUCCUUCUAGCUAUAUACUAUGGCGUUUGUGUGAUGCCAAAAAUGGUGUAGCCUUUAGAAAAGAGACACUCAACAAGCCAAAUCAUUUCUAAUAUUUGUGAUGGCUUAGCCAUUUGGGAGGGGAGGUUCGCUUCCAUCUCUAUGAACCUGGAUUUGUGCCAGUGGCAAGCUUUUCUACGAUCAUGUACGAAAACCAUAAUAAUCCGUUGUUGACUGCAUUGACCCUCAGGGGUAUUUAAUUAAGGUACAUAAGGGAGCAUAAUAUAAUCCUGUUCUUUUUCUAGAAUUCUAUCUUUUGUCUCUAGAAUUUAUAUACAUCUUCAAUUAUCUAUAACCAUACAUAUCUUUAUUUCAAACACAACCUUCACAGGGAAAAUAUGUUCACGGUAGCUGGAUGCAUAUGUAUUGCUCUAAAUUGAGUUGCAUGCCAAGAUUUCAGUUUGGCGUACGUCCCCUUGAUCAUCACGGCUAAAUCCCUAAACUGAGGAUAAUGACGAUGGGCACAAAGGGAUGGAUGGAAUUCCCAGGUCUCGGCCUCUCGGGCAUAUCCAGGAAAGCCUUAUGUAUGUCCUUUUUUUUUGAGAGAGAGAGAGAGAGAGUGGAAAGCCUUAUGUCAUACUGAAUGAUGAGAAAUGUUGAUGGGCCUAGGCCUUCACCUGCCGGCCCAGAAGAGAACAGCAGGCUUGGAGACCUGGAGUUGCAGUUGAAUAUAUAUCACAUAUUCUCUUUGUCCGUGAAAACUUAAACUUCUAGAAUUAUCUAAGUUAAACUUUUAAAAUUUUGAUUGAAUUUUAAAAAUACUAAGAUUUAUAAUACUAAAUUAACAUCAUUAGAAUAUAUUUUCGUAAGACAUUCAUUUUAUAUCAUAGAUAUUGAUGUUUUUUUCUAUAAAGUUAAACAUGAAUUCUAGAAGUUAAAACUUUUAGAGACCGAGAAAGUAUAUAUAUUUUCAUGCCUUAAUAAGUGUGAAAAAAAUUGUGUUGAGUCCCUGUCUGUGAGAGAUUUGUGACCCCAAAAGCAAAGAGACCACCCUCACAAGGCGCGCGAUCGUUCAGCGUUGGCGGCGAGAGCGGGGCCCUGAUCUCAGGUCUGUGGAUUCUUCGGAUGCCGCCGGGCGGCCGAAAGCAACCCCUUGAGAGACCUUUGACCCACAUCCUUCCAUCACAUUUCCCAUCGUGUAUAUUAUGUGAUUGUGACAUACGUAUAAAUAAUGCUCCCAGCAGCCAACGAGGCGCGCGACUCCAUCGCAACUUCGCAAGCAAGCAGACAAAGUCAACGGCGUUUUGCCUCGUGGCGCUGGCUUUGCUGGUUCUCUGCCCCUGCCUGCCCUGCCCUCUACAGGAAGCAACCAAACGAAACAUGACGUGGCUCUCCGAUUUUGUUUGAUUAGGCUUAGGUUAGUUUGCAAAAUUUUUUAAGAUUUCUUGUCAUAUUAAAUCUUUAAAUACAUGCAUAAAACAUUAGAUGUAAAUAAAACAAUAACUAAUGGUACAACUUAUCUAAAAUUUACAACACAAAUCUUUUAAGUCUAAUUAGUUCAUGAUUAGAUAAUAAUUAAUAAAUACAAACAAAAGUACUAAAUUUUUUUUAUGAACUAAACAAGACCAUAGUCAAUCAUUAUUCUCAAGCAGAGCAGGCGGCUACACCCAGACAGACGGUUAGGCCUUGUUUAGUUUUCUGAGGCAAAAAAAUUUCGCGAUACGGUAGCACUUUUGUUUGUUUGUGAUAAUUAUUGUCUAACUAUAGACUAACUAGACUCAAAAUGUUCGUCUCGUUAAUUUUGACCAAACUGUGCAAUUAGUUUUUUUUCCUAUAUUUAAUACUUUAUGCAUGCAUUUAAAAAUUCUAUGUGAUAAAGAAUCUUGAAAAAUUUUAGGUUUGUGGGUGGAAGGAAACAAAGCCUUAGCUGACGGACGAGAUUAGAGAAUGAGAUGCGGGUGACGGGUGUAAGGUAUCGCGCAGGCUUCUGUUAGGCCUUGUUGGCCUUGUUUAGUUAAAAAAACCAAAAAAAAUUCAAGAUUUCUCGUCACAUAUAAAUCUUACGUCACAUACAUAGAGACAUAGAGCAUUAAAUAUAGACGAAAAUAAAAACUAAUUAUACAGUUUGUAAAUUACGAGAUAAAUCUUUUAAACCUAAUUAGUUAUGAUUGGUCAAUAAUUGCAAAUAAAAACAAAAGUACUAUCGUUUAUUUUUUAGAACUAAACAAGGCCUUAUCUGUUCUGCGCGGCAUCAGGCCUUGUUUAGAUGCGAAUUUUUUUUGGAUUUUGCUACUGUAGCACUUUCGUUUGUUUGUAGCAAAUAUUGUCCAAUCAUGGACUAACUAGAAUCAAAAGAUUCAUCUCCCAAUUUACAAUUAAACUAUGCAAUUAGUUUUUAUUUUCAUCUAUAUUUAAUACUUCAUGCAUGCAUACAUCGAAAGAUUCGAUAUGACAGUAAAUCUUGAAAACUUUUUGGUUGUAGGGGUGAACUAAACAAGCCCUUAUUCUGGAUGAAGCUUUGCCGCCGGUUGGCGACGGGAGACGGGAAUCUCUUGGAUGGCUGCUGGGACGCGCUGGAUGGGAAGCUUGGAAAGGAUGAUUGCGUGACCGCGUUGGUAGGACGGACAGGCUGGGGCUACUAAACGCGUGAUGCUCCUCCCAUGUCUCUAUUAUACAAAGGUCUUGUUUAGUUUGUAAAAAUUUUUAUGAUUUCUC
rnacentral:lncRNA from 1 species